rnacentral:SRP_RNA from 1 species
CCGUGCUAGGCGGGGAGGUAGCGGUGCCCUGCACCCACAAUCCGCUCUAGUGGGGCUGAAUUCCCGUUCGAGGGGCUUCGGCUCCCGGGGUCAGUACGCCGCUGCGAGGCGCUGAUGGCCGGGUCCCGCGCGGUGGACGCUCGUGAACCAGGUCAGAUCCGGAAGGAAGCAGCCUUAAGCGAAUCCGUCCAUGCGCCGCGGACCAGCCUGGCCGUAGUCGAGUAGCGGCGGGCACGCCCGGGAGCUUGCAACGACGACGGGUGCACGG